rnacentral:rRNA from 1 species
UCCUUAAGUGGGGAAUAACGCAUCGAAAGAUGUGCUAAUACCGCAUAUCUCUGAGGAGAAAAGCAGGGGAUCGCAAGACCUUGCGCUAAAGGAGCGGCCGAUGUCUGAUUAGCUAGUUGGUGGGGUAAAGGCUUACCAAGGCAACGAUCAGUAGUUGGUCUGAGAGGACGGCCAACCACACUGGGACUGAGACACGGCCCAGACUCCUACGGGAGGCAGCAGUGGGGAAUUUUGGACAAUGGGCGAAAGCCUGAUCCAGCCAUGCCGCGUGAGUGAAGAAGGCCUUCGGGUUGUAAAGCUCUUUUAGUCGGAAAGAAAGAAUGCAAUGAAUAAUUGUGAUUUAUGACGGUACCGACAGAAAAAGCACCGGCUAACUACGUGCCAGCAGCCGCGG